GACGAACGCUGGCGGCGUGCUUAACACAUGCAAGUCGAACGAAGAGCGACGGAAGCUUGCUUCUAUCAAUCUUAGUGGCGAACGGGUGAGUAACGCGUAAUCAACCUGCCCUUCAGAGGGGGACAACAGUUGGAAACGACUGCUAAUACCGCAUACGAUCUAACCUCGGCAUCGAGGAUAGAUGAAAGGUGGCCUCUACAUGUAAGCUAUCACUGAAGGAGGGGAUUGCGUCUGAUUAGCUAGUUGGAGGGGUAACGGCCCACCAAGGCGAUGUCCAGUAGCCGGUCUGAGAGGAUGAACGGCCACGUUGGGACUGGGACACGGCCCAGACUCCUACGGGAGGCAGCAGUGGGGAAUCUUCCGCAAUGGACGAAAGUCUGACGGAGCAACGCCGCGUGAGUGAUGACGGCCUUCGGGUUGUAAAGCUCUGUUAAUCGGGACGAAAGGCCUUCUUGCGAAUAGUGAGAAGGAUUGACGGUACCGGAAUAGAAAGCCACGGCUAACUACGUG
rnacentral:rRNA from 1 species